GCGCCAGACUCCUACGGGAGGCAGCAGUAGGGAAUCUUUCACAAUGGGCGAAAGCCUGAUGGAGCAACGCCGCGUGCAGGAUGAAGGCCUUCGGGUUGUAAACUGCUUUUAUAAGCGAGAAAUAUGAUGGUAACUUAUGAAUAAGGAUCGGCUAACUACGUGCCAGCAGCCGCGGUAAUACGUAGGGGGCAAGCGUUAUCCGGAUUUACUGGGUGUAAAGGGAGCGUAGACGGCCAGACAAGUCAGAAGUGAAAGCCCAGGGCUCAACCCUGGGACUGCUUUUGAAACUGCCGGGCUGGAGUGCAGGAGAGGUAAGCGGAAUUCCUAGUGUAGCGGUGAAAUGCGUAGAUAUUAGGAGGAACACCAGUGGCGAAGGCGGCUUACUGGACUGUAACUGACGUUGAGGCUCGAAAGCGUGGGGAGCAAACAGGAUUAGAUACCCGAGUAAC
rnacentral:rRNA from 1 species